rnacentral:rRNA from 1 species
UACGAAGGGGGCUAGCGUUGCUCGGAAUUACUGGGCGUAAAGGGCGCGUAGGCGGACAUUUAAGUUAGAGGUGAAAGCCCAGGGCUCAACCCUGGAAUAGCCUUUAAUACUGGAUGUCUUGAGUUCGGGAGAGGUGAGUGGAACUCCGAGUGUAGAGGUGAAAUUCGUAAAUAUUCGGAAGAACACCAGUGGCGAAGGCGACUCACUGGCCCGAUACUGACGCUGAGGCGCGAAAGCGUGGGGAGCAAACAGG